rnacentral:rRNA from 1 species
UACGGAGGGGGCUAGCGUUGUUCGGAAUUACUGGGCGUAAAGCGCGCGUAGGCGGACCUGCAAGUCGGGGGUGAAAACUCGAGGCUCAACCUCGAGACGCCGAUGGAAACCCCCGAACUAGAGUCCGGAAGAGGAGAGUGGAAUUCCUGGUGUAGCGGUGAAAUGCGCAGAUAUCAGGAAGAACACCCGUGGCUAAGGCGGCUCUCUAGUACGGUACUGACGCUGAGACGCGAAAGCGUGGGGAGCGAACAGG